rnacentral:rRNA from 1 species
GAUGAACGCUAGCGACAGGCUUAACACAUGCAAGUCGAGGGGCAGCACGGGAGUAGCAAUACAACUGGUGGCGACCGGCGCACGGGUGAGUAACGCGUAUGCAACCUACCUAUCAGAGGGGAAUAACCCGGCGAAAGUCGGACUAAUACCGCAUAAAACAGGGGCACCGCAUGGUGAUAUUUGUUAAAGAAAUUCGCUGAUAGAUGGGCAUGCGUUCCAUUAGGUAGUUGGUGAGGUAAUGGCUCACCAAGCCGACGAUGGAUAGGGGAACUGAGAGGUUGGUCCCCCACACUGGUACUGAGACACGGACCAGACUCCUACGGGAGGCAGCAGUGAGGAAUAUUGGUCAAUGGGCGAGAGCCUGAACCAGCCAAGUCGCGUGAAGGAAGAAGGAUCUAUGGUUCGUAAACUUCUUUUGCAGGGGAAUAAAGUGCGGGACGUGUCCUGUUUUGUAUGUACCCUGAGAAUAAGGAUCGGCUAACUCCGUGCCAGCCGCCGCGGUAAUAC